CGAAGAAAUAUUUCCGAACUAUAAUUUGAUAUUUAUGCACAUAAGAUUGUUACUUUAAAAUCAUCGAUAUAGCAGAAAUUUAAUCUAUGAAGAAUCGAUAUUCUAUGGAUAAAGAACUUUUAGUGGAUGAAGUUCACCGCUGUCUUUCGCCUAAUAUUGCAUUGUUAUGAAAUAACCGACACGCUAUCGAACUCACAAGUAGAUGCGUAUUAUAAAUACUAGGACCUCAAGAAGGAAAAAUGUCGAGCAGUGAUCACGGGACAAAAAGCAAAGAACAAUCGGUGCUUCUCAACGCAAAAUAAUUAAUACAAGGUAUAUAACAAGUUAGUUGGAUAAUUCGCCAUAAUAAUCAGCUCUAACGGUAUAUUACCACAUAUGCGUACGUAUAUCGACGUUCGGUCAGCAAAUGUUUCCACGAUCAAGUAUUGUGUUUAAUCGGCGCGAGUUGGAACGAGAGUGGUGCGACAGCUUUUUAAUAUCGCGCCGUGUGCUGGCGAACAGACAGCCGUCUCGAGUCGUCACGAAUCACGUGGGUGCAUCGACUGACAUUUCACCUGGCAUUCAGCAGGAAUUUUACCUGGCCACUAACCGAGCCAUCGCGAUCUCCUGCAUACAGUAUCGGCCGCCUUGAACCAGACUUUUUAUCCGACGGGCUUUGGAACGUGCUUACCGAUCAUCGUUCAGCGCCUUAUGGUCUGCGAGAUCGAUGUAAUUCUCGUUCGUAACAGAUGUUCCAUGUAACGGAACUUCUUCUGAGUUUAACGGGAUCGAAUGAAAAAAUGUAUAAUGAAACGUGAGGCAACAUCAUUGUGGAAUCAUACAAGCGGAGAUAGGCAACCUCGGACAGGUGGAAAUCGACACACACAUUGACCUGAAUUGGAGAACUCGAUAAAAGGGACUUGAAACGUAUGAAAAUCGAUAAAGCCUUAGCAUGCGAUGAACUUAUAUUGAAUGAAAUCAUUGAGGUCAUUUAAUCCCUAUACUAUUAUCAGGAAUAUUAUUUGAAGUAUAGGUAAAAGUAUUUAUUCGUGUUAUCACAAUUGCUGAUAAAUUUAAUUGAUUAAUUGAUAGAUAUGUCAAUAAUAAUACAAUCGCGGAUGAGAUAUAACAUGGAACAUGCACCUAAUAUUCGAUGCAUAACGAAUUUUUGUAGAUUAUUCCAAUGAUC
rnacentral:lncRNA from 1 species